UCGAGUACACACACACACGAGACAGAGCUCCCAAGUCACUUUACUACACUCACUCACUCAUUCACACACAUCUCCCAUACUAUUGUCUCAAAGUGCCUCCAUCCAACUCUGAACUCCUUCAUCAUGCCUUCCCCCAGAGGAUCCAAAUCAAAAGCCAAACCUACACCCAAACGUACCCGGGAUGACGUUGUAAUCGAAGACCAGGACAUGUCAGAUACGGAGUCCACCAGCUUCAAUUACACCAAACUGGAAAUCCAGGAGCUCAUUAAUAGUGCAAUCAAUCAGACAAUGCUCACUUUUGUGAAGAAAAUAGAGGAAGCCAUCGCACCCCUUACGACCAUCACCACAAAACUACAGGACCUCGAAUCGAAAAUGCACACCUUAGAAGCACAGGUAGCUAAACUGGAGUCGAUCCAGCGAAUACAGAUCACUUAAAGAAGGAUGAAGAUAUGGUUAUUGUUUCAGUAUAGGGAAAUGGGGUUCCAAAUGCUGUGAUUGGCUGACGGUUUUUAUGGGCAUCCGCCCAUAAAAACAGGGCCUUGGCACAACUCAAUUUUUCCCAAUCUCAAUUUCCCAUUACUUGGAAAUCUCACUCCUUUCUUGGCACCAAAAUCAGGUGUCUCCUUUACCAUCAUUAUUGCUGCCAAACUCGGAAAAGCUGAGUAAUUAAAAGAUUAUUUAAUAUCCUACAAAUUAAUUUUCUGACAUCCACUCAAUUACAUAAAUCGGUUCAACUCACCACAAGUUAAGCUCUAAGCUUCAACUCUCGGUAACUGCUAAGGACAAUUUUUCAUCCAUUAAUUUUGCGACCUCUCUGCCGUGCCCCCACCAGAAAUCUGUGUCAUCGCCGGCCAACCUGGUAAAUAACAACUUUAACUGGAUUCUGCAACAAUAAGGACCAAGGAACUUGUAUUUCGUAAUGCACUAUAUUUUAUUGAAGUAUACACUCAUCAAUUACCAUUAGUUGUUGUUCGUGACCUGGUAACAGUGUGAAAUUGUCGGAAACUUCGUUAAAGUUUUACAAGAUUCAAAAAUAGUUUCUCAUAUAAUGAACGAUAUAAUAUUUGUGCCAAUUGUUACUCAAUAUUGUGACCUAUUGCCCCUUCCUCCACCAGAUCCGUGUCUCCACCGGUCAAUUUAUCUGAUCUAUCAGUACUCAUCAAUUACUAUGAGACCUUGUUCGUGACUCGGGAAUAGUGUGAAAUUCUCAGGAACUUCAGUAAAGUUUACCAGAUUCGCCUUCAUGUACUCAAAUUCAGUGUGACUUUAUCAAAACCUUCUUCAAAAUCUUCUUAAAAUAAACAAUUAACGGUGGAGACACAUAAAUAUGGUGAAAACACGUUAUUUGUUUCAAGCAGGUUUCAAAUUACUAAUUGCUUGUUAUUUUUCGCAGGAAAUCCAGUUGCUCAAAACAUUUAUUUGAAUUUAAUAAACCGUCGUUUGUCACGGUCCGAAAUAUAAAGUGUUGCGGUACUAAUUGUGAUAAUUCUUGAAACCAAGAAAAUCGUAAUUACUCCUUUCUGCCAAAGCGUCAGAACUUCCGAUGCAAAAUAACUCAUUUCUCUCAUUCUUUUUUCCUCUGAUAGCUAAUUUUAGUUUUUUUAAAGGUUCCAGCAGUGGUGUAAAAUUCUCGACAUCGAUAAGGAAAACGUAUCACAUAAAACUGUCGUUUGCAGCAAACACUUUUAGCCACCUUCAAGAAAUUUCUCAAAGAGUUUUACCGACCUCUCCACCCCAUUUGUGUCUUCACCAUUGUCUGUGUCUCCACCGAAAGGGGGGUGGGUUAAUUUAUCCUUUAUAUGAACAAGAAGAUAAAGAUUAGAAAUAAGUUUCACUACAGUUUGAAGUAGAAGAAUCAGAACCACAUUCAACUGUUUCCAUUUUCCUUAUAUACUCAAGGCACGAAAAUUAUUGCUACUAUUUAUAAUAAAAUAUUUUGCAAC